rnacentral:rRNA from 1 species
UAAUGUCUGGGAAACUGCCUGAUGGAGGGGGAUAACUACUGGAAACGGUAGCUAAUACCGCAUAACGUCGCAAGACCAAANAGGGGGACCUUCGGGCCUCUUGCCAUCAGAUGUGCCCAGAUGGGAUUAGCUAGUAGGUGGGGUAACGGCUCACCUAGGUGACAAUCCCUAGCUGGUCUGAGAGGAUGACCAGCCACACUGGAACUGAGACACGGUCCAGACUCCUACGGGAGGCAGCAUG